AGUGGGGUGGGGCGAGAGGUUCCGGGUCAGGGGGCGGGCCAGGGAGCCACGUGCGGCGCCGUUGACUCCCGGUGCGGAAGGAUGAGUUCCCAGAGGGGGAAUGUUGCCCGCUCACGGCCCCAGAGACAUCAGAACUCGCGAGUCUUCAAAAAUGACAAGUAUGACACAAGCGCCCAGCGCAAGAAAAUCAAUGCAAAGCUUCAUGAUGGAGUGUGUCAGCACUGUAAGGAGGUCUUGGAGUGGCGUGUAAAAUUCAGCAAAUACAAACCACUAUCAAAACCGAAGAAAUGGGUCAACCACGGAAAUGUCUGGAAUCUUGUAUUUAUACUUUGCAACAACAGUAUAAACUCAACUUUAAAUUUAAAUAGUGAUUAGUAUUUAGAAAUCUAGUUAUGAAGGAAUUAUGAAAAAUUCAGAUUUAACCCAGUCUCAUCUGGAGAUUACCAUCUUCAGUUGCAACUACUUCAUACAAUUAAUUAUAUACUGGUGUACACGGUUCUACACUUAAGUUGUUGAAAAACAUUACUCUGUAAAAAAAGUACACACAUACACUUGCUGAUUUUGCAGUUCCCAUAUGUCUGCUGAAGGUAUUGACUUCAUUGCAGAUUUUGGCAACUUGUACCAUUUAAUUUAUUGUGGAUGUUACUUGUAGAUUUCAGAAUUAUGAAUAGUGUCCUCCUAGAGCUCCAAAUACUAAAACCAGAGUGAAAAAUAUCAAUUGCUUCACAGUAACUUGAGUAACAAGGGCUACUUCAUGGGUUACUAUGGGUGUGUGGUAUGUUUGAUCAAUUUGGGAAAGCAAACAAAAACAGAGAAGGUCAGUUUGCCUUCAGAGUUUAACUUUACUUUUAGAAAAUUCCUAAAUGUAUCUCAAAAGACUUAAAUAUUCUUGCUUAGGGCCCCCAGUGGAUUAGCACCAGCUCUGUUCUGUGAGGUGAAGAAAAGAUCACCUUUCAGGCCAUAAGUGGUAAAGAGGGAGAGGUCUAGGUUUUAAAGGGCUAUUAAGGUGCUAAUUAAUCUCUAAAUUUCUCAAAAUAAUUUAGUAUUCCGAAACCGCUUUUUAUUUUAAACAGCAACUUGACUGGACAGAUUUUUUUGUACAGCUUUUCCAUCUUGUUCAUGCUAUCUUGGCUGCUGGAAAUUAUUAAGUGAUCUAGUGUUAUGUGACAUUCCAUCAGUCAUAACUCACUGAUGCUUGCCAGAAACUGGAUGCAGAAGACAUUUAUAAAAUGUAAGCAACAUCCCAUGAAGCUUACAUGGUUCCAUUCCAGACUUGAAACUCAGACCAGGUUCUUCAUCUUUGCUAAGUUGAUAGUUCCUGAUUUGAGCCAUAGUUUCAAAGCCACAUGAGAUUUAGGAUUGCUUAAUUUUGAAGCAGCAUUUCAAAUAAAAAAAAUGCAGAGUGUCAUCUGAGGUACAGUAGAACCUCCAAAUUAAACACCAGAGUUACAAACUGACUGGUCAGCCACACAUCUCACUUGGAACCAGAAAUAGGCGAUCAGGCAUCAGAGACUUCCCCCCCUCCCCGAAAAAGCACAAAUGCAGUACAGUACUGUUAAACCACUUUAAAAAAGAGUAAGUUUAAAAAAAAAUUUGACAAGGUAAGGAAAUGGUUUCUGUGCUUUUAUAAUUUAAUAUGGUUAGCAGCAUUUUUCUUCUGCAUAGUAGUUUCAAAGCUGUAUUAAGUUGAUGUUCAGUUAUAAACUUUUGGGAAAAAAACCAUAAUGUUUUGUUCAGAGUUAUGAACAACUUCCAUUCCCAAGCUGUUCAUAACUGAGGUUCUACUGUAGUUUGGAAACCAUGCAAAUGGAAACCAAAGAAAAUAUUCCCACAAAUAUUUGUUUGGUUUGUUGUGUGCUUGCUUGCAGUUUAUAGUGUGGUCUGUUUGGGGUGCUGUUGGUCAAGCAGCCUGGUAGGCAAUAUUGAGAGCUUCCUACAAGGCUCUAGCCUGCCAUCCUUUUAUCCCUAAUCCCUCUAAAAUCCCUUAUCAAGGGGGCCAGGCUAACUCAGGGAGUAUAGGUGGACAGAGGUCACUCACUGACAACAUGAAGCAUAAUGGGCUGAAGGUGUUGAGAGUUUGUGUAAUGACAAAAGUAUUUAAAAAAUCUUGAAAAUUAAGUCAUAAGAUUUAUUCUGUGGCUAGUUCCAUAAGGUCCACUCCUAGAAAAACUGAGCUCUUUUAACAGGGAUGGGAUAUGCAGUCCUCAUGGCCAAAAGAGAAAAGGCCUGUUGCACCUUCUGUCUAAAUCUGGCUACUGAUAAAUCUGAAUGGAAGGCAAGUAGUGGACAUAUUCCACUUCUGCCCUCAUCAGGGGUAGGCAUACUCUGAAGAGCCAGUUCAGGAUUCAGUGAAGACUAUUUCAGUUGACCUUCUACUUGCUUUGUUACUGAAUUGAGUCAGUGAGAGCAGCUCCCCUUGCAAACCUAAAAGUAUCCCAGUAGGGGUUGCUCUUGACACUUGAAUCACAUUAUUAGUUCCCAAAGCUUUCUUAUGGCUUUCCUGGCUUCAGGGGAAGUUGAAUUUUAAAUUUAUUUUCAUUUUGUAAAGGAAUAUUCAGUGCUAUGACUAAUUUUUAAAUGAAAAUAGCCAGCUUGGUCAAAAAGUGACAUUUUCAUGAAAAAAAUGGAAGUUUUAAUUUGAGUUCAGAUCAGAUCCAUUUUUUAACAUUACAUUUAAUCAUGCUAGUUACUGAAACUAAAGCGCUCCGUGACAGUACGUGAAGGGCUUAUAUUCUCAGAGAUUUAUCCUACCAUGAUUCCUGUGCACUUCAAUGUUCUGAGGAGUCGGACAUCCAUGAAUCACUAUCUUUGAAGCACAGUGUAGUCUACAGUAAGGGGAGACAGAUUGGAGCCCAAGGAAGCGAGUUGUGGUAGAAACCAGAUAGUACUGAAUACUGUAAAAGUGCACAAAUUACGUACUUUAUGUUCUCCUUGAACCUUUUUGCAUGAAUGACAUGUCUUUGGCUGGAAACUUUGCAGGGUCUGAGUGAGUACACCUUAGAAACCUUGCUGCUACAGGCUGAGCUUUACAUAUCCUCUUCCAGAACGUUACCACAGAAGAUUUUAGAGCAGUUUAUCCUGUGGUACUGUACAUUCACGCUCCAUGAGAUCUGGUGCCCUGCAAUGUAAGGUAUUAAAGGUGUGAAGUGCCUCCAAAAGACUGUAAAGGAUUCUUACCAUAUUAUUUGUAGAUCUUGUGCUUGUGAAUUAGAAGUAUGUGCUAAAUGUGGAAAGAGAGAAGAAAUUGUAGUUCCGAUCAGUAAAGGACCAGAGAAGAUGGAGAAUGAGACUACUGGAAAUUGCCAAAGAAGGAUCAGUAGAAGAGAGGAGUCAGAGGAAAGUGAUGAA